rnacentral:tRNA from 1 species
UAAGGAAUAGUUUAUCAAAACACACGCCUUGGAAGUGUGAGAUCAGGUUUUCUCCUGUUCCUUAA